GACAGAGGUCCCGAGCGUUAGGCGGAAUCACUGGGCUUAAAGCGUGUGUAGGCGGAGUGCUAAGUACCUUGUGAAAUCCCACGGCUCAACCGUGGAACUGCUUGGUAUACUGGUUCUCUUGAGCCACCUAGGGGCAACCGGAACAAACGGUGGAGCGGUGAAAUGCGUAGAUAUCGUUUGGAACGCCAAUGGUGAAAACAGGUUGCUGGGGUGUGCUGACGCUGAGACACGAAAGCCAGGGAGCAAACGGG
rnacentral:rRNA from 1 species